CCUACGGGAGGCAGCAGUGAGGAAUAUUGGUCAAUGGACGAGAGUCUGAACCAGCCAAGUCGCGUGAAGGAUGACUGCUCUAUGGUUUGUAAACUUCUUUUAUAUGGGAAUAAAACGAGGCACGUGUUCCUUUUUGCAUGUACUUUAUGAAUAAGGAUCGGCUAACUCCGUGCCAGCAGCCGCGGUAAUACGGAGGAUCCGAGCGUUAUCCGGAUUUAUUGGGUUUAAAGGGAGCGUAGAUGGGUUGUUAAGUCAGUUGUGAAAGUUUGCGGCUCAACCGUAAAAUUGCAAUUGAUACUGGCAGUCUUGAGUACAGUUGAGGUAGGCGGAAUUCGUGGUGUAGCGGUGAAAUGCUUAGAUAUCACGAAGAACCCCGAUUGCGAAGGCAGCUUACUAAACUGUGACUGACACUGAUGCUCGAAAGUGUGGGGAUCAAACAGGAUUAGAUACCCGAGUAGUC
rnacentral:rRNA from 1 species